rfam:Salmo salar isolate Sally breed double haploid chromosome ssa07, whole genome shotgun sequence.
UAUAGUUCCUCCUGUAAGUCGCUCUGGAUAAGAGCAUCUGCUAAAUGACUAACA